rnacentral:snRNA from 1 species
AUACUUACCUGGCUGGGGAGAUACCAUGAUCACAAAGGUGGUUUUCUCAGGGCAAGGCUUAUCCAUUGCACUCUGGAUGUGCUGACCCCUGUGAUUUCCCCAAAUGUGGGAAACUCAGUGGCAUAAUUUGUGGUAGUGGGGGACUGUGUUCAUACUCUCCCCUG